rnacentral:tRNA from 1 species
GGGCGAUUAACUCAGUGGCUAGAGUGCCUCCUUCACACGGAGGAAGUCCGCGGUUCAAAUCCGCGAUCGCCCA